rnacentral:rRNA from 1 species
GCGGCACGCCUAACACAUGCAAGUCGAACGGAGUUUUGAGAGCUUGCUCUUAAAACUUAGUGGCGGACGGGUGAGUAACACGUGAGCAACCUGCCUUUAAGAGGGGGAUAGCUUCUGGAAACGGAUGGUAAUACCCCAUAACAUAUCGGGAUGGCAUCUUCCUGAUAUCAAAGAUUUAUCGCUUAGAGAUGGGCUCGCGUCUGAUUAGCUUGUUGGUGAGGUAACGGCCCACCAAGGCAACGAUCAGUAGCCGGACUGAGAGGUUGAACGGCCACAUUGGGACUGAGACACGGCCCAGACUCCUACGGGAGGCAGCAGUGGGGAAUAUUGCACAAUGGGCGCAAGCCUGAUGCAGCGAUGCCGCGUGAGGGAAGAAGGUUUUCGGAUUGUAAACCUCUGUCAUCGGGGACGAUAAUGACUGUACCCGAGAAGGAAGCUCCGGCUAACUACGUGCCAGCAGCCGCGGUAAUACGUAGGGAGCGAGCGUUAUCCGGAAUUACUGGGUGUAAAGGGAGUGUAGGCGGGACUGUAAGUCAGAUGUGAAAUAUGCCGGCUCAACUGGCAGACUGCAUUUGAAACUGCGGUUCUUGAGUGAAGUAGAGGUAAGCGGAAUUCCUAGUGUAGCGGUGAAAUGCGUAGAUAUUAGGAGGAACACCAGUGGCGAAGGCGACUUUCUGGACUGUAACUGACACUGAGGUACGAAAGCGUGGGGAGCAAACAGGAUUAGAUACCCUGGUAGUCCACGCCGUAAACGAUGAGCACUUGUUGUUGGGAGCGAGAGCUUUCGGUGACGCAGUUAACGCAAUAAGUGCUCCGCCUGGGGAGUACGCACGCAAGUGUAAAACUCAAAGGAAUUGACGGGGACCCGCACAAGCAGCGGAGCGUGUGGUUUAAUUCGACGCAACGCGAAGAACCUUACCAGGACUUGACAUCCCUCUGAAACUCUGGGUAAAACCGGAGCCUCCUUCGGGACAGAGGUGACAGGUGGUGCAUGGUUGUCGUCAGCUCGUGUCGUGAGAUGUUGGGUUAAGUCCCGCAACGAGCGCAACCCUUGCCUUUAGUUGCCAUCAUUCAGUUGGGCACUCUAGAGGGACUGCCGGGGAUAACUCGGAGGAAGGUGGGGAUGACGUCAAAUCAUCAUGCCCCUUAUGUUCUGGGCUACACACGUGCUACAAUGGUUGGUACAGAGAGAAGCAAAGUCGUGAGGUGGAGCAAAACUCUAAAACCAAUCUCAGUUCGGACUGUAGGCUGCAACCCGCCUACACGAAGUCGGAGUUGCUAGUAGUCGCGAAUCAGAAUGUCGCGGUGAAUGCGUUCCCGGG